rnacentral:rRNA from 1 species
AUUGAACGCUGGCGGCAUGCUUUACACAUGCAAGUCGGACGAGUGGCGAACGGGUGAGUAAUGCAUCGGAACGUACCUAGUAAUGGGGGAUAACUGUCCGAAAGGUUAGCUAAUACCGCAUACUAUUCGAGCGGCCCAUGUCUGAUUAGCUGGUUGGUGGGGUAAAGGCGCACCAAGGCGACGAUCAGUAGCGGGUCUGAGAGGAUGAUCCGCCACACUGGGACUGAGACACGGCCCAGACUCCUACGGGAGGCAGCAGUGGGGAAUAUUGGACAAUGGGCGCAAGCCUGAUCCAGCCAUGCCGCGUGUCUGAAGAAGGCCUUCGGGUUGUAAAGGACUUUUGUCAGGGAAGCGGUACCUGAAGAAUAAGCACCGGCUAACUACGUGCCAGCAGCCGCGGUAAUUC